rnacentral:tRNA from 1 species
UGGCUCAGUCGGUAGAGCAUGCGACUCUUGAUCUCAGGGUCGUGAGUUCAAGUCCCAU